rnacentral:rRNA from 1 species
AAGAUAUAGUCUACGCACAUAGUGAUAUGUGAUAACGUGACGAGAGGACCGGGAUGAACGAACCUCUGGUGUACCAGUUGUCCUGCCAAGGGCAUUGCUGGGUAGCUAAGUUCGGCAGAGAUAAGCGCUGAAAGCAUAUAAGCGCGAAGCUCUUCUCGAGAUUAGAUAUCAUAGAUUGGUCGAAGACUACGACCUUGAUAGGCUUUAGGUGGAAGUCCAGUAAUGGAUUAAGCCGAGAAGUACUAAUAAAUCAUUUUGACCUGCUUA